rnacentral:rRNA from 1 species
AUAAACGCUGGCGGCGUGCCUAAUACAUGCAAGUCGAGCGAACAGAUGAGGAGCUUGCUCCUCUGACGUUAGCGGCGGACGGGUGAGUAACACGUGGAUAACCUACCUAUAAGACUGGGAUAACUUCGGGAAACCGGAGCUAAUACCGGAUAAUAUAUUGAACCGCAUGGUUCAAUAGUGAAAGACGGUUUUGCUGUCACUUAUAGAUGGAUCCGCGCCGCAUUAGCUAGUUGGUAAGGUAACGGCUUACCAAGGCAACGAUGCGUAGCCGACCUGAGAGGGUGAUCGGCCACACUGGAACUGAGACACGGUCCAGACUCCUACGGGAGGCAGCAGUAGGGAAUCUUCCGCAAUGGGCGAAAGCCUGACGGAGCAACGCCGCGUGAGUGAUGAAGGUCUUCGGAUCGUAAAACUCUGUUAUUAGGGAAGAACAAAUGUGUAAGUAACUAUGCACGUCUUGACGGUACCUAAUCAGAAAGCCACGGCUAACUACGUG